CAAAUUUCUGCCCUAUCAACUUUCGAUGGUAGAGUAGUGGUCUACCAUGGUUUCAACGGGUAACGGGGAAUUAGGGUUCUAUUCCGGAGAGGGAGCCUGAGAAACGGCUACCACAUCCAAGGAAGGCAGCAGGCGCGCAAAUUACCCAAUCCCGACACGGGGAGGUAGUGACAACUAAAUACUGAUACAGGGCUCUUCUUGGGUCUUGUAACUUCGGAACUGAGUACAACUUUAAAUCCCUUAACCGAGGAACAAUUGGAGGGCAAGUCUGGUGCCAGCAGCCGCGGUAAAUUCCAGCUCCAAUAGCGCUAUAUUACACACGUCUGUUGCACGUCUAACAAAGCUCGUAGUUGAACCUUGGCGCCUGGCCUGGCCGGCUCCGCCCUCACCGCCGUGCGCCUGCGCUCCGGCCGGCGCUCUUUCCCUUCUGGGGACGCCCGCAUGCC
rnacentral:rRNA from 1 species